rnacentral:misc_RNA from 1 species
GAUGAAGAACGUAGCGAAAUGCGAUAAGUAGUGUGAAUUGCAGAAUUCAGUGAAUCAUCGAAUCUUUGAACUCACAUUGCGCCCUUUGGUAUUCCAAAGGGCAUGCCUGUUCGAGCGUCAUUUGUACCCUCAAGCUUUGCUUGGUGUUGGGCGUCUUGUCUCUAGCUUUGCUGGAGACUCGCCUUAAAGUAAUUGGCAGCCGGCCUACUGGUUUCGGAGCGCAGCACAAGUCGCACUCUCUAUCAGCAAAGGUCUAGCAUCCAUUAAGCCUUUUUUUCAACUUUUGACCUCGGAUCAGGUAGGGAUACCCGCUGAACUUAAGCAUAUCAAUAAGCGGAGGA